rnacentral:rRNA from 1 species
UACGUAGGGGGCAAGCGUUGUCCGGAAUCAUUGGGCGUAAAGCGCGUGUAGGCGGCUUGGUAAGUCCGCUCUGAAAGCCCCGGGGCUCAACCCCGGGAGGCGGGUGGAUACUGUCAAGCUCGAGUCCGGAAGAGGCGAGUGGAAUUCCUGGUGUAGCGGUGAAAUGCGCAGAUAUCAGGAGGAACACCAAUGGCGAAGGCAGCUCGCUGGGACGUGACUGACGCUGAGACGCGAAAGCGUGGGGAGCAAACAGG